rnacentral:ncRNA from 2 species
AUCUUAUCGAGAGAGGUGGAGGGACUGGCCCUAUGAAACCCAACAACCAGCAUUUUUCAUUUGAAUGUAUGGUGUUAAUUCCUGCAAAUUAAAUUUUGAGAGAUAAGAG